AGAGUUUGAUCCUGGCUCAGAACGAACGCUGGCGGCAGGCCUAACACAUGCAAGUCGAGCGCUACCUUCGGGUGGAGCGGCGGACGGGUUAGUAACGCGUGGGAAUAUACCCAGUUCUAAGGAAUAGCCACUGGAAACGGUGAGUAAUACCUUAUACGCCCUUCGGGGGAAAGAUUUAUCGGAAUUGGAUUAGCCCGCGUUAGAUUAGAUAGUUGGUGGGGUAAUGGCCUACCAAGUCUACGAUCUAUAGCUGGUUUGAGAGGAUGAUCAGCAACACUGGGACUGAGACACGGCCCAAACUCCUACGGGAGGCAGCAGUGGGGAAUCUUGCACAAUGGAGGAAACUCUGAUGCAGCGAUGCCGCGUGAGUGAAGAAGGCCUUUGGGUUGUAAAGCUCUUUCGUCGGGGAAGAAAAUGACUGUACCCGAAUAAGAAGGUCCGGCUAACUUCGUGCCAGCAGCCGCGGUAAUACGAAGGGACCUAGCGUAGUUCGGAAUUACUGGGCUUAAAGAGUUCGUAGGUGGUUGAAAAAGUUGGUGGUGAAAUCCCAGAGCUUAACUCUGGAACUGCCAUCAAAACUUUUCAGCUAGAGUAUGAUAGAGGAAAGCAGAAUUUCUAGUGUAGAGGUGAAAUUCGUAGAUAUUAGAAAGAAUACCAAUUGCGAAGGCAGCUUUCUGGAUCAUUACUGACACUGAGGAACGAAAGCAUGGGUAGCGAAGAGGAUUAGAUACCCUCGUAGUCCAUGCCGUAAACGAUGUGUGU
rnacentral:rRNA from 1 species